AAAUGAAUUGACGGGGGCCCGCACAAGCGGAGGAACAUGUGGUUUAAUUCGAUGAUACGCGAGGAACCUUACCUGGGCUCGAACGUGAGAGGAAUUAUGUUGAAAGAUGUAAGCCAGCAAUGGCCUCUUACGAGGUGCUGCAUGGUUGUCGUCAGCUCGUGCCGUGAGGUGUCGGCUUAAGUGCCAUAACGAGCGCAACCCUUAUUGUUAGUUGCCAGCGGGUAAUGCCGGGGACUCUAACAAAACUGCCAGCGUAAGCUGUGAGGAAGGCGGGGAUGACGUCAAAUCAGCACGGCCCUUACGUCCAGGGCUACACACGUGUUACAAUGGGUGGUACAGAGGGCAGCUACUUCGCGAGAAGAUGCUAAUCUCGAAAGCCAUUCUCAGUUCGGAUUGGAGUCUGCAACUCGACUCCAUGAAGUUGGAUUCGCUAGUAAUCGCGCAUCAGCCACGGCGCGGUGAAUACGUUCCCGGGCCUUGUACACACCGCCCGU
rnacentral:rRNA from 1 species